rnacentral:pre_miRNA from 1 species
AAGCUACUCCCUCCGUUCGGAAUUACUUGUCGCGAAAAUGGAUGUAUCUAGAACUAAAAUAUGUCUAGAUACAUCCAUUUUUGCGACAAGUAAUUCCAAACGAAGGGAGUAUUUC